GGGAGUGAACGCUGGCGGCAUGCCUAAGACAUGCAAGUCGAACGAGAUGGCCUUUGAAAACUGCGUGCUUGCACAAAGUUGGAUUAAGAUUUCCAUCUAGUGGCAGACGGGUGAGUAAUACAUAAGUAAUCUACCUUAAAGACUGGGAUAACGUUUGGAAACGAACGCUAAUACCGGAUGAUUCUUCUUACACAAGUAAGAAAGCUAAAAGGAGCGUUUGCUUCACUUUAAGAUGAGCUUAUGGCGUAUUAACUAGUUGGUGGGGUAAUGGCCUACCAAGGUGACGAUGCGUAGCCGAACUGAGAGGUUGAUCGGCCACAUUGGGACUGAGACACGGCCCAAACUCCUACGGGAGGCAGCAGUUAGGAAUAUUCGUCAAUGGGGGAAACCCUGAACGAGCAAUGCCGCGUGAGUGAUUGACUGUCUUUAUGAUUGUAAAACUCUGUUGUAAGGAAAGAACCCUUAUCAUAGGAAAUGAUGAUAAGCUGACGGUACCUUACCAGAAAGCCCCGGCUAACUACGUGCCAGCCGCAGC
rnacentral:rRNA from 1 species